UACGUAGGUGGCAAGCGUUGUCCGGAUUUACUGGGUGUAAAGGGCGUGUAGCCGGGCUGACAAGUCAGAUGUGAAAUCCGGGGGCUCAACCCCCGAACUGCAUUUGAAACUGUUGGUCUUGAGUAUCGGAGAGGCAGGCGGAAUUCCUAGUGUAGCGGUGAAAUGCGUAGAUAUUAGGAGGAACACCGGUGGCGAAGGCGGCCUGCUGGACUGCAACUGACGUUGAGGCCCGAAAGCGUGGGGAGCAAACAGG
rnacentral:rRNA from 1 species